rnacentral:rRNA from 1 species
UACGUAGGCAGCGGGCGUUGUUCGGAGUUACUGGGCGUAAAGGGUGUGUAGGCGGCUUUCUAAGUUUGGUGUGAAAUCUCCCGGCUCAACCGGGAGGGUGCGCCGAAAACUGGGAGGCUAGAGUGUGGGAUGGGAGAGUAGAAUUCCUGGUGUAGCGGUGAAAUGCGUAGAUAUCAGGAGGAAUACCGGUGGUGUAGACGGCUCUCUGGACCACAACUGACGCUGAAACACGAAAGCGUGGGUAGCAAACAGG